rnacentral:rRNA from 1 species
UGGGGAAUAUUGCACAAUGGGCGCAAGCCUGAUGCAGCCAUGCUGCGUGUAUGAAGAAGGCCUUCGGCUUGUAAAGUACUUUCAGUCGGGAGGAAGGUGGUAAGGUUAAUAACCUUAUCAAUUGACGUUACCGACAGAAGAAGCACCGGCUAACUCCGUGCCAGCAGCCGCGGCAAUACGGCGGGCGCAAGCGUUAAUCGGAAUUACUUGGCGUAAAGCGCACGCUGGCGGUUGAUUGAGUCAGAUGUAAAAUCCCCGGGCUUAACCCGGGAAUUGCAUCAGAUUCUGGUCAGCUAAAGUCUUGUAGAGGGAGGUAGAAUUCCAUGUGUAGCGGUGACAUGCAUAGAGAUGUGGAGGAAUACCGGUAGCGAAGGCGGCCCCCUGGACAAAGACUGACGCUCAGGUGCGAAAGCGUGGGGAGCAAACAGG